UUUCAGCAACACUGCACCAAUGGCUGCUUCGGAAUUAUCAAACAAGCCUCCACGGCAUGAACAGAACAACGACAGCGAAACAACGCAACAAAAAAUUAAGUCAGGAAACGCCAAAGCAACACAGUGAAGUGAUACUUGACGCCCAACGAUACAAAACACAGCUGGAGGCGGAAUCGAAGCAAAGCGCGCAUAAACGAAACAAAACAAAACUAAGAAUAGAAAUUAAACCACAACAACAAGUGCUAGCACAAUGAAAAAUUUAUUAUUUUAUGGCGCUGCGAGUGCCGCCAUAGCAGUGGCCACUCUGGCACACAGCGGCGUGGCGAGUUUAAGCCACGACUCGAACGCUAUAUGGAAUAACAACGGACUACAGCAGACGCUAGUGGCAGAAGCAAAAACAACUUACAGCAGCGUCACCACAAAUAACACAUUGUCAUUGUGGGAAUUGACAACGCGCGCCACAACCGCAGCCACAGCGAUAGCGGGAAUAAGCAACGGCAGCAGCUUGAUGGAUGAGGGCGGGGGAAAUGGUGGCGGAAAUCGAGAUGAUAGCGGCGUUGGUGGAGUCGUCGCGUACGUCGACAGCUUUAUGCAAGCCUUAAGCACUACGGCUAGCUUUAUGUAUAACAACAACAACAACAACAAUAGCAUCAGCAACAUGAGUAGUAACAGCAACGUUACAGCGGUCAACGAAACGCCAUAUGUACCGUAUGUUAUGCGACCGGAAACGUACAUCGUGCCAGUGCUAUUUGCACUUAUCUUCAUUGUGGGCGUGCUGGGCAAUGGUACACUGAUUGUGGUCUUCCUCGGUGUGCGACAGAUGCGUAAUGUGCCGAAUACCUACAUACUCUCGCUGGCAAUUGCGGAUCUGCUGCUUAUCCUCACCACGGUGCCGUUAACAUCCACUGUCUACACGGUGGACUCGUGGCCAUGGGGCAGCUUCCUAUGCACAUCGUCUGAAUUUAUUAAAGACGUGUCGAUUGGCGUUUCCGUUUUCACACUUAUAGCACUCUCUGGUGACCGGUACUUUGCGAUAGUGGACCCAUUAAGAAAAUUCCAUGCGCACGGUGGCGGCAAACGUGCCACACGUAUGACCAUCGCUAUUGCCGUGUCCAUUUGGCUGUUAGCGAUACUCUGCGCUAUGCCCGCGCUCAUCGGCACCAAUGUGAAGCAACUGGAAAUCAAUAGCAACAAAUCAUUCGCACUUUGCUACCCCUUUCCGCAGGAGUGGGGUGCUGAGUACGCCAAAACGAUGGUCCUAAUGCGCUUUUUAGUCUACUACGCCAUUCCAUUGUGUAUAAUCGGCGCCUUUUACGUGUUGAUCGCGCGACAUUUGAUGUACGCGGCGAGCGUGCCGGGUGAAAUGCAGGGAGCCGUGCGACAGGUGCGUGCUCGUCGAAAGGUGGCCGUAACUGUACUAGCAUUUGUAGUUAUAUUUGGAAUUUGCUUUAUGCCCUAUCACAUCUUCAUGCUUUGGUUCUAUUAUUGGCCCACCGCACAGGACGACUACAACUCUUUCUGGCAUGUUUUACGCAUCGUUGGCUUCUGCUUAUCCUUUGCCAACAGCUGCGCCAAUCCGGUGGCUUUGUAUUUUGUUAGCGGCGCCUUCCGCAAACAUUUCAAUAGGUAUUUGUUUAUUCACUACAAUGCUGACGCAUGACAUACAGGCACCUCCUGCCCGAACAGGAUACUUGUUUUGUCAAGGGUCUGGCGUACGCCUCAAAAAACGACACCCACACAACGAUACCCUCUGCAUGCAUCGCGACGCAUCGCUCACUAGCACCGCAUCGAAGCGCUAUUACUCGUCGACGCGACGCUCCACAUGCCAUCAUCACAGUACCGUACGAAGUCGAUUGCAAGAGACCACUAUAAUGGCUAAUGGAAGUCAAAAUGGGGGACCACUCACUGAUGUCUCCGACGUUGCUUUAGCUAGUGAGUUUUGCGAACACACAUCACACUACCCAUCCCAUCAACAACCACACCAACAAACGUUGCAACAGCAACAACAAUAUCAACGUCAGUUGUCAUUUAUGUGAGAUACAACUACAGCAACAGCGUUUAUUCCAACGCAUAUUGAUGCAACAGCAAACACAACAGCAGCCGCAGCGGCAGCAGCAACAUUAACAAAAACAAGUGAUGCAACGCUGACAAAGUCAACGCGGACGAAAAGUUCAAGUAUCGAGAUGCGCGAUUUAACUGCGUUGAAAAAGGAAUUGCGCACAAAAGCAAAAAAUGCAAAACAACAGCAAGUGUUGGAACAACCACAACAGCAGCAACAAGCAACGACACAGCAAAAUCAAAAACGGCAUAUACACUUUCAAGUUGUUGGCUGUGCACAAAUUUGAAUAGCCAAAGCAACAACAAGAAUAUGUAAAAAAAAAUAUUGUCGAGCUUGCAGCGGUAAAAAGUGAGGCAACGAAUUUAAAAACGGAAAAUGCAGGCAACAAGUUUUAAAUUUUCUUUUAUGCAAUUUGUAUAUAGUUAAAUAUGUACAUAUAGGUACAGUUACGAAAAAAAAAUCGUACAUUUCUUGGCAACAACGAUCAAAUUAAAUGUUAAAUUAAAAUUAGCG